rnacentral:rRNA from 1 species
GACGAACCGUGCGAACGUUAUUCGGAAUCACUGGGCUUAAAGCGCGUGUAGGCGGGACGGCACGUCGGUCGCUGAAAGCCCCCGGCUCAACCGGGGAACGGGCGCCGAUACGACCGGCCUGGAGGGACGUAGGGGGACCUGGAACUUCCGGUGGAGCGGUGAAAUGCGUUGAGAUCGGAAGGAACGCCCGUGGCGAAAGCGAGGUCCUGGACGUUUUUUCUGACGCUGAGACGCGAAAGCCAGGGGGAGCGAACGGG